rnacentral:lncRNA from 10 species
AGACAAACACAUGUUACUAUUUUGCAAUAUGCCUGACAUGAUCUUGGCUGCUUUUAAUAUGUUAUCUUAUUGGAUCCUUAUAUCAAACAAGGCUAUGAAAUAGCUGCUAGUGGGCCAAGUGUGGUGGCUCAUGCCUGUAAUCCCAGCAGUUUGGAAGGCUGAGGCAGGUGGAUCACUUGAGGUCAGGAGUUCAAGAUUAGCCUCGCGAACAUAGUGAAACCCCAUCUCUACUAAAAAUACAAAAAAUUAGCUGGGCAUGGUGGCACACACCUGUAAUCCCAGCUACUUGGGAAUCUAAGGCAAGAAAAAUCCUUGAACCCAGGAGGUGGAGGUUGCAGUGAGUCAAGUUUGUGCCAUUGCACUCCAGCCUGGGCGACAGAGCAAGACCCCAUCUCAAAAAAAAAAAAAAAAAAAGAAAAAAAGAAAAAAAGAAAAGAAACGUCUGCUAGUGUAUUCAUAAAACCAGUGAGGAAAAAGAACCUUAGAGACGUCGAAUAAAUAGUUAAAAUCUCUCAUUUGUAAAUAGAAUACAAGGGAUUCAAAACCUGACAUAUUUUAUCUGAAAGUCCUAAAGCCUAAGCCCUUUCCACAAGGGAAUGAAUGAAUGAGCAAAUAAAUAAAUGAAUAUUAUAAAAACUAUUUAUUUAUUUGAUCAUGUUUAUUUUGUUCCACUUUGACACAGGAAAACAUUAAAAAGCUACCAUUGACUUUCUUCACAGAGUUAGAAAAAACUAUUUUAAAUUUCAUAUGAAAC